rnacentral:rRNA from 1 species
UACGAAGGGUGCAAGCGUUGUUCGGAAUUACUGGGCGUAAAGCGCGCGUAGGCGGUCUACUAAGUCAGACGUGAAAGCCCCUGGGCUUAACCCGGGGAAUGGCGUUUUGAUACUGGUAGACUAGAGAUUCAGAGAGUGAGUGGAAUUCCUAGUGUAGAGGUGAAAUUCGUAGAUAUUAGGAGGAACAUCAGUGGCGAAGGCGGCUCACUGGCUGAAUACUGACGCUAAGGCGCGAAAGCGUGGGGAGCAAACAGG